CAGCAGCCACGGUAAUACGAAGGGGGCUAGCGUUGUUCGGAUUUACUGGGCGUAAAGGGUGCGUAGGCGGAUUGUUAAGUCAGGGGUGAAAUCCUGAGGCUCAACCUCGGAACUGCCUUUGAUACUGGCGAUCUUGAGUCCGGGAGAGGUGAGUGGAACUGCGAGUGUAGAGGUGAAAUUCGUAGAUAUUCGCAAGAACACCGGUGGCGAAGGCGGCUCACUGGCCCGGUACUGACGCUGAGGCACGAAAGCGUGGGGAGCAAACAGGAUUAGAUACCCCAGUAGUCCCUGUCUCUUAUAC
rnacentral:rRNA from 1 species